AAAAUACUAGAUAUAGAAACAAAAGGGGCUAAAAUCAAACACUAACUAUCUAACGUUCACUCAGUCUCAGCCCCGCCCAGCAAAUCAAUCUCGAUACCUGGGUAAGCAACCAUACACCACAUUAGUCGGAUUAAGCAUACAAAUAAAUAAAUAUAAAAAUUAAUUUAAGCGACUGAUUUUUAAUUUGUAAAUUUCAGAAAAUAAAAAUUAUCAAAACUUAAAAUUCAGAUCAGAUUGAAACUAUAAAUUUACAAAGCAUUUCUCUUUCAACAAAUAAACGAAAUAAAUAUUAAGUAUCCGACAACUAACUAUAUUAUAUGAUCCGUUGGCAAGAUCCAGAAGCACCCGAAGGCGCAAACAGAACAGAGGCACUCGAAGGUGCAUAUACAAAACAGAGGCACCCGAAGGUACAAAUAGAAUAGAGGCGCGGAUAGGCGCAGGCACCCGAAGGCAUAAUACAGAAAAAAAGCUCGCUUCUAUAACAAAAUACAUGUCGACAUGGCCAACAUUAGCAUAGCAGAAUACCAAGAGACAUCAUACUUCAAAAUUUAUCCAGUCACUAAUUUACAGAACAAAUUAUCAAAUUUCAAAAAUUCUUUUUGUUAAAAGAACUUAUCAAUCACAGUUGAAGCUCAAUUUACAGAAAUAUUUAAUAAUAUACUUAACCCUUAAUUUUAAAAUCUACAAAAUAAGAUUUUCACACAAUCAAAAUAUUUUUCUAAAUUAUUUUAUAAAAAACUAACGGGUGUCCGGUCGCUUACUUUAAUGCAGUUUCGUAGAUAAAAUGCCAUACGGUCGACAAUCACAUGAAAAAUCAAUUAUCGGAAUCUAAAAUAGAGAAAUACAAUUCUCUAUUAGCUACUCAAAAUAAACUUAUAAAGAGAACAUAUAUACAUUUAGAAGGCAAGCUUAUACAAAAUUUAAAUUCGGAAAGAUUCAUAUAGGUU
rnacentral:lncRNA from 1 species